rfam:Aedes aegypti strain Liverpool supercont1.522 genomic scaffold, whole genome shotgun sequence.
UGCCCAGCAACUCCUAUCCCUACCUCCUCGUGCUACUGGCCGGGGUACGAGUAACCUUGGGGAAGAUCGGGUAACCAACCCCCGGUGGGAACUUUGGUCGUAUGCUGACAGGGAAGG